GUGCCACUUCAGCAGCACAUAUAUUAAAAUUGGAAAGAAAACAGAGAAAGAUUAGCAUGGCCCUGCACAAGGAUGACAUGCGAAACAUGAAGUGAUCCAUAAUUAA
rnacentral:snRNA from 1 species